GUUUGAUCCUGGCUCAGGAUGAACGCUAGCGGCAGGCCUAACACAUGCAAGUCGAGGGGUAGAGUUAGCUUGCUAACUUGAGACCGGCGCACGGGUGCGUAACGCGUAUGCAAUCUACCUUGUACAGAGGGAUAGCCCAGAGAAAUUUGGAUUAAUACCUCAUAGUAUUAUCGGAAGGCAUCUUCUGAUUAUUAAAGUUCCAACGGUACAAGAUGAGCAUGCGUCCCAUUAGCUAGUUGGUAUGGUAACGGCAUACCAAGGCAAUGAUGGGUAGGGGUCCUGAGAGGGAGAUCCCCCACACUGGUACUGAGACACGGACCAGACUCCUACGGGAGGCAGCAGUGAGGAAUAUUGGACAAUGGGCGCAAGCCUGAUCCAGCCAUGCCGCGUGCAGGAAGACGGCCCUAUGGGUUGUAAACUGCUUUUAUACAGGAAGAAACACUGCUACGUGUAGCAGCUUGACGGUACUGUAGGAAUAAGGAUCGGCUAACUCCGUGCCAGCAGCCGCGGUAAUACGGAGGAUCCAAGCGUUAUCCGGAAUCAUUGGGUUUAAAGGGUCCGUAGGCGGCCUUAUAAGUCAGUGGUGAAAUCUCCUAGCUCAACUAGGAAACUGCCAUUGAUACUGUAGGGCUUGAAUGUUUAGGAAGUAACUAGAAUAUGUAGUGUAGCGGUGAAAUGCUUAGAUAUUACAUGGAAUACCAAUUGCGAAGGCAGGUUACUACUAAAUGAUUGACGCUGAUGGACGAAAGCGUGGGUAGCGAACAGGAUUAGAUACCC
rnacentral:rRNA from 1 species